rnacentral:rRNA from 1 species
CCUACGGGCGGCAGCAGUGAGGAAUAUUGGUCAAUGGGCGCGAGCCUGAACCAGCCAAGCCGCGUGAGGGAUGAAGGCUCCAUGGAUCGUAAACCUCUUUUAUCAGGGAACAAAGUGCGGCACGUGUCCUAUUUUGUAUGUACCCUAUGAAUAAGGAUCGGCUAACUCCGUGCCAGCAGCCGCGGUAAUACGGAGGAUCCGAGCGUUAUCCGGAUUUAUUGGGUUUAAAGGGUGCGUAGGCGGGCCUUUAAGUCAGCGGUGAAAGUCUGUGGCUCAACCCUGGGAUUGCCGUUGAAACUGGGGGACUAGAGUAGGUGAGAGGCAGGCGGAAUGCGUGGUGUAGCGGUGAAAUGCAUAGAUAUCGCGCAGAACCCCGAUUGCGAAGGCAGCGUGCCGGGCCAGGACUGACGCUGAUGCACGAAAGCGUGGGGAUCGAACAGGAUUAGAUACCCUUGUAGUC